UACGGGGGGUGCAAGCGUUAUUCGGAAUUACUGGGCGUAAAGAGCGCGUAGGCGUCCUAUAAGUCAGCUGUGAAAGCCCGGGGCUUAACCCCGGAAGUGCACUUGAAACUAUAGGACUUGAGUAUGGGAGAGGGAAGUGGAAUUCCUGGUGUAGCGGUGAAAUGCGUAGAUAUCAGGAGGAACAUCGGUGGCGAAGGCGACUUCCUGGACCAAUACUGACGCUGAGGCGCGAAGGCGUGGGGAGCAAACAGGAUUAGAUACCCCGUGUA
rnacentral:rRNA from 1 species